CCUACGGGUGGCAGCAGUGGGGAAUAUUGCACAAUGGGGGCAACCCUGAUGCAGCGACGCCGCGUGAGUGAAGAAGUAUUUCGGUAUGUAAAGCUCCAUCAGCAGGGAAGAAAAUGACGGUAUCUGAUCAAGAAGCCCCGGCUAACUACGGGCCAGCAGCCGCGGUAAUACGUAGGGGGCAAGCGUUAUCCGGAUUUAUUGGGUGUAAAGGGAGCGUAGACGGCAGCGCAAGUCUGAAGUGAAAUGCCGGGGCUUAACCCCGGAACUGCAUUGGAAACUGUGCAGCUAGAGUGCAGGAGAGGUAAGUGGAAUUCGUAGUGUAGCGGUGAAAUGCUUAGAUAUUAGGAGGAACACCAGUGGCGAAGGCGGCUUACUGGACUGUAACUGACGUUGAGGCUCGAAAGCGUGGGGAGCAAACAGGAUUAGAUACCCGUGUAGUC
rnacentral:rRNA from 1 species